UACGUAGGGUGCGAGCGUUAAUCGGAAUUACUGGGCGUAAAGCGUGCGCAGGCGGUCCGCAAAGUCUGAUGUGAAAGCCCCGGGCUCAACCUGGGAACUGCAUUGGAAACUAACGGGCUUGAGUGUGGCAGAGGGGGGUGGAAUUCCACGUGUAGCAGUGAAAUGCGUAGAGAUGUGGAGGAACACCGAUGGCGAAGGCAGCCCCCUGGGCUAACACUGACGCUCAGGCACGAAAGCGUGGGUAGCAAACAGG
rnacentral:rRNA from 1 species